rnacentral:tRNA from 1 species
AGAGCUUUAAGUUAAAAAAACUAAAAACCUUCAAAGUUUUAAUUACACAUAGGUAAGCUCUG